ensembl:snRNA U1 U1 spliceosomal RNA
AGACAAACUGGCAGGGGAGAAGGUGGUUCACCCAGGGUGAGGCUCUGCCAUUGCACUUCGGUGGUGCUGACCCUUGCAAAUUCCCCAAAUGCGAGAAUCUCGACUGCAUAAUUUCUGGUAGUGGGGGACUGCAUUUGCGGUCUCCAU